rnacentral:rRNA from 1 species
GACGAACGCUGGCGGCGUGCUUAACACAUGCAAGUCGAACGGAAAGGCCCUGCUUUUGUGGGGUGCUCGAGUGGCGAACGGGUGAGUAACACGUGAGUAACCUGCCCUUGACUUUGGGAUAACUUCAGGAAACUGGGGCUAAUACCGGAUAGGAGCUCCUGCUGCAUGGUGGGGGUUGGAAAGUUUCGGCGGUUGGGGAUGGACUCGCGGCUUAUCAGCUUGUUGGUGGGGUAGUGGCUUACCAAGGCUUUGACGGGUAGCCGGCCUGAGAGGGUGACCGGCCACAUUGGGACUGAGAUACGGCCCAGACUCCUACGGGAGGCAGCAGUGGGGAAUAUUGCACAAUGGGCGGAAGCCUGAUGCAGCGACGCCGCGUGCGGGAUGACGGCCUUCGGGUUGUAAACCGCUUUCGCCUGUGAUGAAGCGUGAGUGACGGUAAUGGGUAAAGAAGCACCGGCUAACUACGUG